rnacentral:rRNA from 1 species
CUGUUUGGACUAGGGGCCCUUCUCGGGUUACCGAAUUCAGAUAAACUCCGAAUGCCAUGUACUUAUACUCGGGAGUCAGACUGCGAGUGAUAAGAUCCGUAGUCGAAAGGGAAACAGCCCAGACCACCAGUUAAGGUCCCCAAAUAUAUGUUAAGUGGAAAAGGAUGUGGGGUUGCUUAGACAACCAGGAUGUUGGCUUAGAAGCAGCCACCAUUGAAAGAGUGCGUAAUAGCUCACUGGUCGAGUGACCCCGCGCCGAAAAUGUACCGGGGCUAAACAUAUUACCGAAACUGUGGAUGAACCUCUUUAGAGGUUCGUGGUAGGAGAGCGUUCUAAGGGCGGUGAAGUCAGACCGGAAGGACUGGUGGAGCGCUUAGAAGUGAGAAUGCCGGUAUGAGUAGCGAAAGAAGGGUGAGAAUCCCUUCCACCGAAUAUCUAAGGUUUCCUGAGGAAGGCUCGUCCGCUCAGGGUUAGUCGGGACCUAAGCCGAGGCCGAUAGGCGUAGGCGAUGGACAACAGGUAGAGAUUCCUGUACCAGUGCUAAUUGUUUAACCGAUGGGGUGACACAGAAGGAUAGGGAAUCGCACGAAUGGAAAUGUGCGUCCAAGCAGUGAGUGUGAG